rnacentral:sRNA from 1 species
ACAAUGUUGAUGAGACUGGAAUAAACACUGUCCACACGCCAGCGAAGAUCAUAGGACUGAGGGGCACACGAGCUAUCCACAGCAAGACCAGUGGAGAUCGGGGAGAAAAUGUCACGGCGGUUAUCUGUGCCAGUGCAUCUGGGUCAUACAUUCCUCCCAUGAUUAUUUUCAAGGGACAACGCUUAAACAGGGGUUUGGUUGCAAAUGCCCCUCCAGGCGCACUAUUUGCUACCAGUAAGUCUUCAUUCAUUGACAGGGAGCUUUUUGAGCACUGGUUUAAAUACCACUUUAUGAAAUAUCUUCCUUCACAUUGACCAGUUUUACUGAUAAUGGAUGGACACUCAUCUCAUAUCAGCUUGGAAAUACUUCAGCUGGCCAAGGAAAACGAGAUUGAGAUUCUCUGCCUACCACCCCAUACAACUAGUGAACUUCAGCCUCUGGACAAGUGCGUGUUUAAACCACUGAAAACAGAGUAUAACAAAGCCUGCAUGCAGUUCUUGAAAGAAAACCCAGGGCGGAUAGUAACAAGAUACGACUUUUGUGGACUGUUCACGAUAGCCUAUCAUAAAGUUUGCACGAUGCUUAAUGCUGCUAGCGCCUUUCGUGCUACAGGAAUUUUCCCUUUCAACCCCUCAAUAAUACCUGAAGAGGUGUUUGGACCAUCCAUAGUUUCUCAUUUACCAAGUCAAGAAGGCGACUGUAAACCUGAAGAAACUAUGGCAUCUGAUCAGGAAUCCACCGACACUGAAGCUGAAUCAGAUCUGACGUCUACUUCUGCUGAUUGCACAGUUCCGUGCGCAUCAGGCGAUGUUCUUUCUAGUCUUCUAAAGGUUCCCUCAUUUGAAAAGCAGAGAAAGAUACCUACUAACAAAAAAUCUCGAAGAAUCGCAUCAGCACGUUGUCUUACAGCAGAUGAAGUAAUUAAGGAAAUCGAGGACAAGGAAAACGAAAAAGAGCAAAAGAGAAUUGAGAAGGAAAAUCGUAAGAAAUUGCGAGUCAUAAAGAAACUGAACAAAAAGGACGGAAAAUCAGAGAAGCUGAAAAGGAAAAAAAGGAAGGAUAAAGCAGAAGCAGAGGAGGAAAAGGAAGCAGAUUUUUGUAACUAUUGUCAUGGAUAUUACUAUGAUGAUGAGUCUGAUGACGAAGACUGGGUAAAAUGCUCUGACCAGGGUUGUAAUCGAUGGUAUCAUGAGUCUUGUACUGGUUGUUUUGGAAAAGGGGUCAAUGCAUUCAAAUGUGAUGCUCACAAAACUGUUUGAUGUUACAAAACUGUUUGAUGUCAGAAUUUAAUGUUUGUUCAAAAGAUAAAUUCUUUAAAGGUUAUUUUAUCUGAAACCUCAAUUAUUUUGAAUAAAAUUGAGCAACUUU